GCGGGAGUGCCGGAGCGGUCAAACGGGCCUGACUAAGGAUCAGGUAGCUUAUGCUUGCGAGGGUUCGAAUCCUUUCUUCCGCA
rnacentral:tRNA from 1 species